rnacentral:rRNA from 1 species
UACCGCAUAUUGUGCGCCUUGUGCGCAUGAAAGCAGUAAUGCGCUUCGGGAGGGCCUGCGUCCCAUUAGCUAGUUGGUAGGGUAAAAGCCUACCAAGGCGACGAUGGGUAGCUGGAUCCGAGAGGUUGACCAGCCACACUGGGACUGAAAUACGGCCCAGACUCCUACGGGAGGCAGCAGUAAGGAAUCUUCCACAAUGGACGAAAGUCUGAUGGAGCAACACCGCGUGCAGGAUGACGGCCUUAGGGUUGUAAACUGCUUUUAUAGAUGAAGAUUAUGACGGUAAUCUAUGAAUAAGGACCGGCUAACUACGUG